GAUGAACGCUGGCGGCGUGCCUAAUACGUGCAAGUCGAGCGAACGGACGAGAAGCUUGCUUCUCUGAUGUUAGCGGCGGACGGGUGAGUAACACGUGGAUAACCUACCUAUAAGACUGGGAUAACUUCGGGAAACCGGAGCUAAUACCGGAUGAUGUUUUGAACCGCAUGGUUCAAAAGUGAAAGACGGUCUUGCUGUCACUUAUAGAUGGAUCCGCGCUGCAUUAGCUAGUUGGUAAGGUAACGGCUUACCAAGGCAACGAUGCAUAGCCGACCUGAGAGGGUGAUCGGCCACACUGGAACUGAGACACGGUCCAGACUCCUACGGGAGGCAGCAGUAGGGAAUCUUCCGCAAUGGGCGAAAGCCUGACGGAGCAACGCCGCGUGAGUGAUGAAGGUCUUCGGAUCGUAAAACUCUGUUAUUAGGGAAGAACAUAUGUGUAAGUAACUGUGCACAUCUUGACGGUACCUAAUCAGAAAGCCACGGCUAACUACGUG
rnacentral:rRNA from 1 species